AAUACGGCAUAAUGCAUCGACGGGACAUCCUGUUGGUGCCAAAGGUUAAUUCCGGUGGCGGAUGGGCAUGCGUCGCAUUAGUUAGUUGGCGGUGUAACGGACCACCAAGACGACGAUGCGUAGGGGUUCUGAGAGGAAGGUCCCCCACACUGGUACUGAGACACGGACCAGACUCCUACGGGAGGCAGCAGCGAGGAAUAUUGGUCAAUGGGCGGGAGCCUGAACCAGCCAAGUCGCGUGAGGGAUGACGGUCCUAUGGGUUGUAAACCUCUUUUGCCGGGGAGCAAAGUGCCGCACGUGUGCGGUUUGGAGAGUACCCGGAGAAAAAGCAUCGGCUAACUCCGUGCCAGCAGCCGCGGUAAUACGGAGGAUGCGAGCGUUAUCCGGAUUUAUUGGGUUUAAAGGGUGCGUAGGCGGACGCUUAAGUCAGCGGUAAAAUUGCGGGGCUCAACCUCGUCGAGCCGUUGAAACUGGGUGCCUUGAGUGGGCGAGAAGUACGCGGAAUGCGUGGUGUAGCGGUGAAAUGCAUUGAUAUCACGCAGAACUCCGAUUGCGAAGGCAGCGUACCGGCGCCCUACUGACGCUGAAGCACGAAGGCGUGGGUAUCGAACAGGAUUAGAUACCCUGGUAGUCCACGCAGUAAACGAUGAAUGCUAGUUGUCCGGGGCGAUUGAGUUCUGGGUGACACAGC
rnacentral:rRNA from 1 species